rnacentral:tRNA from 1 species
GCCGGAAUAGCUCAGUUGGUAGAGCAGAGGACUGAAAAUCCUCGUGUCACCAGUUUG